CACGUAUUUAUUAUUUUUUUAUUCUAGAUAAUUAGAUAUUAAGUUAUUAUCUUUUAUCUUUAUCUAAAUAUUUUAGAACUUUCUUAAUACAACAAUGCUCGGGAGUUUAUGACACUGUGAGUACGAAUCGCAUACCUUAACGAGAUGUAUAGCCAGUUUUGAGACUUAUCCGGACUUAAACAUACUAUUUUUAAUAGUUAUUCUAUUCCUUGGCUUAUUCGAAGCUGUUUAAGACUCAUUACCGCUUUCACUAUUCCUCGCCACACUUCUUCAUCCAUCGCUAAUGUUUUUCGAUCUCUGAUUCAUAGAAGCUUCUGAUGUCCGUUUUCUUGGUAUUUUUUGAUCUGGCUUCCGCAUUGUGACCCGGUUUACUAUUCUAUCCUCCACUCUCCACAAAUGGUCUGCCCAGUCUUCGAUUCCAUUGAUUUCAGCUAUCGGUUUUAUCUUUUAUGAGUUAUUUCGAAUAAUAUUUUAUCAUCUGUAUCUACAUCUAGACGAUUUCGGUGCAAUUAUAUUUUAUCUAAACAUCUACGUAAACGUCACAAAAUAGUUGUAUAGAUACGAUCGAAUAGGGACAAGUAUCGAGUAGUGAAUUUCAAAUAUUACUACGGGCGACAUCGAAACUGACGCGGUUCGCCGAACGAAAAUGGUUUUACGCGCGUAUGCAUGUGUAUGUAAUAUAAUGAUGUUGG